GCUCCCAUAGCAAAGUGGUUUAAUGCGUCGUGCUUAUACUACAAAGUAUAUUAGAGACACGCGAAGGUCGGCGGUUCGAUCCCGCCUGGGAGCA